rnacentral:tRNA from 1 species
GCUGGUGUAGCUCAGUGGUAGAGCAGCUGAUUUGUAAUCAGCAGGUCGGGGGUUCAAAUCCCUUCGCCAGCUCAA